AUACGAAAGGUGCAAGCGUUGUUCGGAUUUACUGGGCGUAAAGAGAGUGUAGGUUGUUUAUUAAGUCGGAUGUGAAAUCCCGGGGCUCAACCUCGGAACUGCAUUCGAUACUGGUAGACUAGAGUUCGGGAGGGGUAAGCGGAAUUCCGUGUGUAGCAGUGAAAUGCGUAGAUAUACGGAGGAACACCUGAGGCGAAGGCGGCUUACUGGACCGAUACUGCCACUGAGACUCGAAAGCGUGGGUAGCAAACAGGAUUAGAAACCCUAGUAGUCC
rnacentral:rRNA from 1 species